rnacentral:rRNA from 1 species
GACGAACGCUGGCGGCGUGCUUAACACAUGCAAGUCGAACGGAAAGGCCCUGCUUUUGUGGGGUGCUCGAGUGGCGAACGGGUGAGUAACACGUGAGUAACCUGCCCUUGACUUUGGGAUAACUUCAGGAAACUGGGGCUAAUACCGGACAGGAGCUCCUGCUGCAUGGUGGGGGUUGGAAAGUUUCGGCGGUUGGGGAUGGACUCGCGGCUUAUCAGCUUGUUGGUGGGGUAGUGGCUUACCAAGGCUUUGACGGGUAGCCGGCCUGAGAGGGUGACCGGCCACAUUGGGACUGAGAUACGGCCCAGACUCCUACGGGAGGCAGCAGUGGGGAAUAUUGCACAAUGGGCGGAAGCCUGAUGCAGCAACGCCGCGUGCGGGAUGACGGCCUUCGGGUUGUAAACCGCUUUCGCCUGUGACGAAGAGUGAGUGACGGUAAUGGGUAAAGAAGCACCGGCUAACUACGUG